rnacentral:rRNA from 1 species
GAUGAACGCUGGCGGCGUGCCUAAUACAUGCAAGUCGAGCGAACAGAUGAGGAGCUUGCUCCUCUGACGUUAGCGGCGGACGGGUGAGUAACACGUGGAUAACCUACCUAUAAGACUGGGAUAACUUCGGGAAACCGGAGCUAAUACCGGAUAAUAUAUUGAACCGCAUGGUUCAAUAGUGAAAGACGGUUUUGCUGUCACUUAUAGAUGGAUCCGCGCCGCAUUAGCUAGUUGGUAAGGUAACGGCUUACCAAGGCAACGAUGCGUAGCCGACCUGAGAGGGUGAUCCGCCACACUGGAACUGAGACCCGGUCCAGACUCCUACGGGAGGCAGCAGUAGGGAAUCUUCCGCAAUGGGCGAAAGCCUGACGGAGCAACGCCGCGUGAGUGAUGAAGGUCUUCGGAUCGUAAAACUCUGUUAUUAGGGAAGAACAAAUGUGUAAGUAACUAUGCACGUCUUGACGGUACCUAAUCAGAAAGCCACGGCUAACUACGUG